GACGAACGCUGGCGGCGUGCUUAACACAUGCAAGUCGAACGGUGACCUCGGUGCUUGCACCGGGUGAUCAGUGGCGAACGGGUGAGUAACACGUGAGUAACCUGCCCCUGACUCUGGGAU
rnacentral:rRNA from 1 species